rnacentral:lncRNA from 1 species
CGAUGCGCCAUCCUGGAAAGGGAGAGAAACUAGCGUGCACAAAGGCCUUAACAUAAAAAAAACCAUCCCUGUCAUGUCCAAUCUGUGAUGCGCCCUCCUGGAAAGGGAAAGAAAGGAGCAUGCACAAAGGCCUUAACAUAAUAAAACAUCUCUGCCAUGUCCAAUCUGCGAUGCGCCCUCCUGGAAAGGGAGAGAAACAAGCAUGCACUAAGGCCCUAGCAUAAAUAAACCUCCCUGCCAUGUCCAAUCUGUGACGCCUCCUCCUGGAAAGGGAGAGUAACUAGCAUGCAAAAAGGCCUUAACAUAAAAAAACAUCCCUGCCCUGUCCAAUCUGCGACAUGCCCUCCUGAAAAGGGAGAUAACUAGCGUGCACAAAGGCCUUAACAUAAAAAAAUACCCCUGCCAUGUCCAAUCUGUGAUGCGCCCUCCUGGAAAGGGAGAGAAACAGGCAUGCACAAAGGCCCUGUCGUUAAAAAACAUCCCUGCCAUGUCCAAUCCACGAUGCGCCUUCCUGGAAAAGGGAGAGAAACAAGCAUGCACAAAUCCUUAGCAUAGGAAAACAUCCCUGCCAUGUCCAAUCUACGAUGCGCCCUCUUUUAAAGGGAGAGAAACAAGCAUGCACAAAGGCCUUAACAUAAUAAAACAUCCCUGCCUUGACCAGUAUGCGACGUGCUCUCCUAGAAAGGGAGAGAAACAAGCAUGCACAAAGGCCUUAACCUAAAAAAAAACGUUCCUGCCAUGUCCAAUCUGCGAUGCCCCCUCCUGGAAAGGGAGAGUAUAACUAGCAUGCACAAAGGCCUUAACCUAAAAAAAACAUCCCUGCCAUGUCCAAUCUGUGACGCCCCCUCCUGGAAAGGGGAAAGUAACUAGCAUGCAAAAAGGCCUUAACAUAAAAAAACAUCCCUGCCAUUUCCAAUCUGCGAUGCGCCCUCCUGGAAAGGGAGAGAAACAAGCAUGCACAAAGGCACCGUCCUUAAAAUAAUAUCCCUGCCAUGUCCAAUCUAUGAUGCGCUCUCCUAGAAAGGGAGAGAAACAAGCAUGCGCAAAGGCCUUAACAUAAAAAACAUCCCUGCCGUGUCCAAUCUGCGACAUGCCCUCCUGAAAAUGGAGAGAAACUAGCGUGUACAAAGGCCUUAACAUAAAAAAACACCCCUGCCAUGUCCAUUCUCUGAUGCGCACUCCUGGAAAGGGAGAGAAACAAGCAUGCACAAAGGCCCUGUCCUUAAAAAACAUCCCUGCCAUGUCCAAUCUACGAUGCGUCCUCCUGGAAAGGGAGAGAAACAAGCAUGCAAAAAGGCCUGAACAUAAUAAAACAUCCCUGCCAUUCUCAGUAUGCUACGUGCUUUUCUAGAAAGGGAGAGAAACAAGCAUGCACAAAGUCCUUAACAUAAAAAAAACAUCCCUGCCAUGUCCAAUCUGCGAUGCCCCCUCCUGGAAACGGAGAGUAUAACUAGCAUGCAAAAAGGCCUUAACAUAAAAAAACAUCCCUGCCAUUUCCAAUCUGCGAUGCGCCAUCCUGGAAAGGGAGAGAAACUAGCGUGCACAAAGGCCUUAACAUAAAAAAAACAUCCCGGCCAUGUCCAAUCUACGAUGCCCC